rnacentral:rRNA from 1 species
GAAAGGAAUGCUAAUACCGCAUACGCCCUACGGGGGAAAGCAGGGGAUCUUCGGACCUUGCGCUAAUAGAUGAGCCUAAGUCAGAUUAGCUAGUUGGUGGGGUAAAGGCCUACCAAGGCGACGAUCUGUAGCAGGUCUGAGAGGAUGAUCCGCCACACUGGGACUGAGACACGGCCCAGACUCCUACGGGAGGCAGCAGUGGGGAAUAUUGGGCAAUGGGCGAAAGCCUGAUCCAGCCAUGCCGCGUGUGUGAAGAAGGCCUUUUGGUUGUAAAGCACUUUAAGCGAGGAGGAGGCUACUUAGAUUAAUACUCUAGGAUAGUGGACGUUACUCGCAGAAUAAGCACCGGCUAACUCUGUGCCAGCAGCCGCGGUAAUACAGAGGGUGCGAGCGUUAAUCGGAUUUACUGGGCGUAAAGCGUGCGUAGGCGGCUUUUUAAGUCGGAUGUGAAAUCCCUGAGCUUAACUUAGGAAUUGCAUUCGAUACUGGGAAGCUAGAGUAUGGGAGAGGAUGGUAGAAUUCCAGGUGUAGCGGUGAAAUGCGUAGAGAUCUGGAGGAAUACCGAUGGCGAAGGCAGCCAUCUGGCCUAAUACUGACGCUGAGGUACGAAAGCAUGGGGAGCAAACAGGAUUAGAUACCCUGGUAGUCCAUGCCGUAAACGAUGUCGACUUGGAGGUUGUUCCCUUGAGGAGUGGCUUCCGGAGCUAACGCGU